rnacentral:rRNA from 1 species
CACCUACGGGUGGCUGCAGUAGGGAAUAUUGCUUAAUGGGCGAAAGCCUGAAGCAGCAACGCCGCGUGUGCGAUGAAGGCCUUCGGGUUGUAAAGCACUUUUUGAGGGGAUGAGGAAGGACAGUACCCUCAGAAUAAGCCUCGGCUAACUACGUGCCAGCAGCCGCGGUAACACGUAGGAGGCGAGCGUUAUCCGGAUUUACUGGGUGUAAAGCGCGUGCAGGCGGUUCAGAAAGUUGGAUGUGAAAGCUCCUGGCUUAACUGGGAGAGGUCGUUCAAUACUUCUGGACUUGAGUAUGGGAGAGGGAGGUGGAAUUCCGGGUGUAGUGGUGAAAUGCGUAGAUAUCCGGAGGAACACCAGUGGCGAAAGCGGCCUCCUGGCCCAUUUCUGACGCUCAGACGCGAAAGCUAGGGUAGCAAACGGGAUUAGAUACCCCGGUAGUC